rfam:Drosophila ananassae strain TSC#14024-0371.13 Ctg01_15992, whole genome shotgun sequence.
UAAAAGGUUUUUAUAAAAACUAUAUACCUAAUCAUAAAAUGAAUAU